AAGGACGAGAAGAUGCUCGUCUACGAGUACCUCCCCAACCAGAGCCUCGACGCGUUCCUCUUCGGAAUUAGGUGUGAAGAUCUGGUUUGAUUUGGUGACACAUGGGGCGAGCGUGCACAUAACUUGGGGCGCAUGGCUGAAGUGCUGAACCAAAUUACAGCUCGAUCUUGGGUUGUGCAGUCUCCGUAGUUUACUGAUUUUUAGUCAGUUAGGUCUAAUGAGGCUGCCAUCAGGUACUACAAGGACUUGCUUUGAUGAUACUCCAUCUUAGCCCAGAAGGCAUCGACAAGGUUUCAGUAAGCCCAGAAAGAUAACCUGUGAAGGUUCCUGGUCUCCAGGAUGUGUUAUGUGUGUUGCAUGAACCAGAUAUCUGAUGGCCAAUGCUUCCUCGAAAGGACAUUCCUGAGUCAUGCUUCCAUCAGAGCUACUGGUGUCAUUAUGAGCUGGAUGAAAGAUGCUGGACUUACGACGGUUGGGCCUUAUCUGUCGAGUUGGGCAUGUUUGUGACUGUAGUCAUUUUCCCACACUUUUGCCUUAACUAGCCGAUUUGUGUUUAUUAUUUAUUGACGAUUUUGUUUUGUUCAUUAUGAAGUUGGAUUGAUCAAAUGGGUAACAUUCAUGGUCGAUAUGAACCGCCCAACUCGACAGAUAAGGCCUUAUUGAUUGGAUCUCACAUGUACACUGUCAUUGAUGCUGGCAUGGAGCUUUGG